rnacentral:misc_RNA from 1 species
AAAAAUGCUUUUUAAUAGCAAUUUAAAUAAUAACGCCACAUAUAUCUUUAAUAAUGCAAAAAACGAUGAAGUAUUAUUUGAUCCCCGUUCGAACAACAAAAAAUAUUAUUUGAGCCCCGCAUUCCAGACACCUUAAAAUUUCUCGGCAAGAGAAAUUAACCCUCAAUGGCUAGUGAGUUGCAGAUUCAAGUUCCAUUCUCUCCGGUUCACUUAUUUCACAUACCAUUAUGUAAGAACCGGUGCUUCAUAUCUCAAAUGCCAAGCUUCACUUCAUUAUCCGCUGCAUGGCUAUUAUAGUACAAUGAAAUACUAGUAAAGUAACCAACGAAAUUAACAUCAGUUUAACCACCAAAUCAAAAUAAGAAUCCCAGCAAAACAGGGCAGCAAAAGAAGCAGCAUGGAGUUACUCUGAUGAGGCUUUCUCUUUUUUCUGUGUCUCCGAUGAUAGGUACCCCUGACCCUUUGCCCAACGGGAUAGUUGAUAGAGUUGCACAGUCUCGUUUGAAGCA